rnacentral:rRNA from 1 species
UACGGGGGGGGCAAGCGUUGUUCGGAAUUACUGGGCGGAAAGGGCUCGUAGGCGGCCAACUAAGUCGGACGUGAAAUCCCUCGGCUCAACCGGGGAACUGCGUCCGAUACUGGAUGGCUUGAGUUCGGGAGAGGGAUGCGGAAUUCCAGGUGUAGCGGUGAAAUGCGUAGAUAUCUGGAGGAACACCGGUGGCGAAGGCGGCAUCCUGGACCGACACUGACGCUGAGGAGCGAAAGCCAGGGGAGCAAACGGG